rnacentral:rRNA from 1 species
GACGGAGGAUGCAAGCGUUAUCCGGAAUGAUUGGGCGUAAAGCGUCCGCAGGUGGCAGUUCAAGUCUGCUGUCAAAGACCGGGGCUUAACUUCGGAAAGGCAGUGGAAACUGAACAGCUAGAGUAUGGUAGGGGCAGAGGGAAUUCCUGGUGUAGCGGUGAAAUGCGUAGAGAUCAGGAAGAACAUCGGUGGCGAAGGCGCUCUGCUGGACCAUAACUGACACUCAGGGACGAAAAGCUAGGGGGAGCGAAUGGGG